rnacentral:lncRNA from 1 species
GGGCGUGUGGAGUGUACAUGGGGUCUAAGGUUUGAGUGGUGGCGCAUCAAAAAGGGAGUAUUUAUUUUGCUGCCUAAUUCGUGUGGGUGGUAGAGUUGGAUUGAAAUACUGCUAAAUGGAGUUUGAACUGGUCAUAGAGAGAAUUGAGGAGAGAAUAUUGGGAUUUGGGGAGGUUUUUGUUGUGAAGAGAUAUAUAUCAUCUC